UACGUAGGGGGGCAAGCGGUUGUCCGGAUUUAUUGGGCGUAAAGAGCGUGUAGGCGGCCAGACAGGUCUGCUGUGAAAACUCGAGGCUCAACCUCGAGACGCCGGUGGAAACCGUCUGGCUAGAGUCCGGAAGAGGAGAGUGGAAUUCCUGGUGUAGCGGUGAAAUGCGCAGAUAUCAGGAGGAACACCGGUGGCGAAGGCGGUUCUCUGGGCAUGUCCUGACGCUGAGGAGCGAAAGUGUGGGGAGCGAACAGG
rnacentral:rRNA from 1 species